UACAGAGACCUCAAGCGUUAUCCGGAUUUACUGGGCGUAAAGGGUCCGCAGGUGGUCUUGCGCGUCGAUGGUUAAAUGUACGGGCUCAACUCGUACGCCGCCGUCGAUACGGCAAGACUAGAGGUCGGAAGAGGUAGGCGGAAUUACCGGUGUAGUAGUAAUAUGCGUUAAUAUCGGUAAGAACACCAAAAGCGUAGGCAGCCUACUGGAACGCACCUGACACUCAGGGACGAAAGCGUGGGGAGCGAAAGGG
rnacentral:rRNA from 1 species